CCCCCAGGGUUCGGGGUCCCCCGGCUCACUCGGUGAUCUCCUCGGUGACCGUGUGCUCCACCUGCAGCCGCGAGUUGACCUCGAUGAAGUAAUAGUCCCCGCUCUGGUCCACCAGGAACUCCACGGUGCCGGCGUUCUCGUAGCCCACCUGGGACCCCCGCGCUGGGCUCAGGGUGGGCUGGGGGCUGCAGACCCCGGGGUCCCCCACAGCCCCGGCUCCUGGAGCCCCCAAAGGUCCCCAAGGGUCCCCAGUGCCCUCCUGGGGCCUCCUGGGGCUGUUCUGGCUCCUCGAUGUUCUCCUGGUCCCACAACGUCCAUUUGGGUCCCUCAAUGUCCAUCUGGGUCACUCAAUGUCCAUCUGGGCCCUCCAAUGUCCAUUGCGGUCACUCAAUGUCCACUUGGGUCCCUCAAUGUCCAUCUUGGUCACUCAGUGUCCAUCUGGGUCCCCAGUGUCCACCUGAGUCCCCCCAAUGUCCCCCUCAGUCCCCCAAUGUCCACCUGAGCCACUCAAUGUCCACUUGGGUCUUUCAAUAUCCAUCUGGGUCACUCAAUGUCCACCUGGGCCCUCCAAUGUCCAUUGCGGUCACUCAAUGUCCAUCUUGGUCACUCAAUGUGUACCUUGAUCCCUCAAUGUCCAUCUUGGUCACUCAAUGUCCACCUGGGCCCUCCAAUGUCCACCUUGGUCCCCCAAUGUCCACCUCAGUCCAUCAAUGCCCAUCUUGGUCACUCAAUGUCCAUUUUGGUCACUCAAUGUCCACCUGGGCCCUCCAAUGUCCCCCUCAGUCCCUCAGUGUCCACCUGGGUGCCCCAAUGUCCAUCUUGGUCACUCAAUGUCCAUCUUGGUCCCCCAAUGUCCAUCUGGGUGCCCAAUGUCCAUCUGGGCCCCUCCAAUGUGUACCUUGGUCCCCCAACGUCCAUCUUGGUCACUCAUUGUCCACCUGGGCCCUCCAAUGUCCACGUCAGCCACUCAAUGUCCACCUCAGUCCCUCAAAGUCCAUCUUGGUCCCUCGAUGUCUACCUGGGUCCCCUGACGUCCUCCCAGGAUCCCACCCCCAUUGCCCUGGGGCUGUCCC
rnacentral:lncRNA from 1 species